ACGGCGUACCUUUUGUAUAAUGGGUCAGCGAGUUAUUGUCUGUAGCAAGGUUAACCGUUUAGGGGAGCCGUAGGGAAACCGAGUCUUAAUAGGGCGUCAUAGUUGCAGGCAAUAGACCCGAAACCGGACGAUCUAGCCAUGGCCAGGUUGAAGGUGCCGUAACAGGCACUGGAGGACCGAACCCACUUAUGUUGAAAAAUGAGGGGAUGACUUGUGGCUAGGGGUGAAAGGCCAAUCAAACUCGGAGAUAGCUGGUUCUCCGCGAAAUCUAUUUAGGUAGAGCGUCGACCGAAUACCCUCGGGGGUAGAGCACUGGAUGGGCUAUGGGGACUCACCGUCUUACUGAUCCUAACCAAACUCCGAAUACCGAGGAGUACUAGUCGGCAGACACACGGCGGGUGCUAACGUCCGUCGUGAAGAGGGAAACAACCCUGACCUCCAGCUAAGGUCCCUAAGUCAUGGCUAAGUGGGAAAGGAUGUGAGACUCCCAAAACAACCAGGAUGUUGGCUUAGAAGCAGCCAUCCUUUAAAGAAAGCGUAACAGCUCACUGGUCUAAAUAAGGGGUUUUGCGCCGAAAAUGUACCGGGGCUAAAGCCAUGCACCGAAGCUGAGGAUGUGCAGUUUACUGCACGUGGUAGCGGAGCGUUCUGUAAGUCUGUGAAGGGAGACCCGUGAGGGCUCCUGGAGAUAUCAGAAGUGCGAAUGUUGACAUGAGUAACGAUAAAGGGAGUGAGAGACUCCCUCGCCGAAAGACCAAGGGUUCCUGCUUAAAGUUAAUCUGAGCAGGGUGAGCCGGCCCCUAAGGCGAGGCCGAAAGGCGUAGUCGAUGGGAACCUGGUUAAUAUUCCAGGGCCUGACGGAGGUGACGAAUGGUGGAAGUAGUUCCGGCUUAUUGGAUUGUCGGGGCUGCCAAGCCGUUCCAGGAAAUAACCCCGUCGUAUAGACCGUACCCCAAACCGACACAGGUGGACUGGUAGAGUAUACCAAGGCGCUUGAGAGAACGACGUUGAAGGAACUCGGCAAAUUGCACCCGUAACUUCGGGAUAAGGGUGACCCGUCUUUGGGCAACCAGGGGCGGGUGGCACAGACCAGGGGGUGGCGACUGUUUACUAAAAACACAGGGCUCUGCGAAGCCGCAAGGCGACGUAUAGGGUCUGACGCCUGCCCGGUGCCGGAAGGUUAAGAGGAGAGGUGAGAGCUUUGAAUCGAAGCCCCGGUAAACGGCGGCCGUAACAAUAACGGUCCUAAGGUAGCGAAAUUCCUUG
rnacentral:rRNA from 1 species